UAAUUCAGAAAUUAAUAAGAACCUAUUUGCAGAUUAUAAUGAUCAGUUUCCGUUUUAGAAAAGGGUAAUCUCCAGGCAUAUCUCCAGGUAUGAAUCUAUCGGUAGAAGAGGGACCUUCCUCAGAGAUGGGGAUGGUUGACACCGUACCCAGUGUCCCUCGCUACGACUUGACGUUGCUAUGGAUAUUAAAGGUUAGUAUUUUUUAUUUUUUAUUUUCG